ensembl:lncRNA
CUGACCCUCCUAGAAGGUACAACAUACCACAGCACCCACUAUAACUGACCACCCACCAUCCUGACCCUCCUAGAAGGUACAACAUACCACAGCAUCCACUAUACUGACCCUCCUAGAAGGUACAACAUACCACAGCACCCACUAUACUGACCCUCCUAGAAGGUACAACAUACCACAGCACCCACUAUACUGACCAUCCACUAUACUGACCCUCCUAGAAGGUACAACAUACCACAGCACCCACUAUACUGACCCUCCUAGAAGGUACAACAUACCACAGCACCCACUAUACUGACCCUCCACUAUACUGACCCUCCUAGAAGGUACAACAUACCACAGCACCCACUAUACUGACCCUCCUAGAAGGUACAACAUACCACAGCACCCACUAUAACUGACCCUCCUAGAAGGUACAACAUACCACAGCACCCAAUAUAACUGACCAUCCACUAUACUGACCCUCCUAGAAGGUACAACAUACCACAGCACCCACUAUACUGACCAUCCUGACCCUCCUAGAAGGUACAACAUACCACAGCACCCACUAUACUGACCAUCCAGACCCUCCUAGAAGGUACAACAUACCACAGCACCCACUAUACUGACCCUCCUAGAAGGUACAACAUACCACAGCAUCCACUAUACUGACCCUCCUAGAAGGUACAACUUACCACAGCACCCACUAUAACUGACCACCCACCAUCCUGACCCUCCUAGAAGGUACAACAUACCACAGCACCCACUAUACUGACCAUCCUGACCCUCCUAGAAGGUACAACAUACCACAGCACCCACCAUCCUGACCCUCCUAGAAGGUACAACAUACCACAGCAUCCACUAUACCGACCCUCCUAGAAGGUACAACUUACCACAGCACCCACUAAAACUGACCACCCACCA